ACAUCUUCAUACAUUCUAUAGCUCUGUAACUCACCAUCUCUCCUAUCGAGGAAAAGGAAAAGCACAGAAUCUCUGCCUCAUUUACAAACUCGCGUUACAUUCUUUUGUACCCAAACAUGUUAGGAUAGUAAGUGUGAGGACAGUAAGAUUUACGUAGAAAAGGAAUAGAGAUGAAGAAAAGCAGAGAAUAGAGAUGAAGAAAAACAGAGAAGAAGAAGAAGAACUUUAGCACUGAUUCUUUUUAUUAAUUGCUUACUAUUCUCUUAUCUCACAUAUGUUUAUAUAUGCUAUAGUAGAAAGGUUAUACACGUUAUCUAGUCUCUCUUUAUUUGCACUGAAACAAUGCUAACUAAUUCUCUUAACUGACAAACAAUACUAACAACUACUAACAGCAUUCUAACAAUUUCAUUCUCUAAUCUUUUGACAUGUGGCAGGACUAGAGCCUGUGAUAUCUUUACAUUCCCCCUCAAUCGCAGGCUUGGAGGAGCCAAGCAUGAGAUUGGAACAGUGGUGCCUUGAUACAAAAUGAUAAUCAAUCUGGAGGUCUUGUAAACUGAAGGUCUUUAGUUCGAUCCUGCAUUUUCCAAACCUGAUGAUCAUCAAUUUCAACACCUUCAAGAUCAGAAUCUGCAUCAAAUCGACUUGGACAUUUUCUUGAGUCAUCAACAAAUCCUAAAAUAUCAUGACUCUCAAGUAGAAUUUGCAUCUGAAAAUUCCAUAUAAGAUAAUUUGUGUCAUCCAGCUUGACUGUUACAGCUGUUGAAACCGUAGGAAGUAAACAGGUAAUAGAAGAUUGAACAAUUUGAAGUUGAGAAGUAGUCACCAUUUUUAGAGUUCAAGAGACAGAGAGGAAGAGAAUUACAGAUUUGAGAAGAGAGUUGAAGAAGCUAGA
rnacentral:lncRNA from 1 species